GACGAACGCUGGCGGCGUGCUUAACACAUGCAAGUCGAACGGGAUUUAGUAGACAGAAGCCUCGGCUAAAGAUUACUAAUGAGAGUGGCGAACGGGUGAGUAACGCGUGAGCAACCUGCCUAUGACAGUGGGAUAGCCUCGGGAAACCGGGAUUAAUACCGCAUAAAAUCGUAGAAACACAUGUUUUAACGGUCACAGAUUUAUCGGUCAUAGAUGGGCUCGCGUCUGAUUAGCUAGUUGGUGAGAUAACAGCCCACCAAGGCGACGAUCAGUAGCCGGUCUGAGAGGAUGAACGGCCACAUUGGAACUGAGACACGGUCCAAACUCCUACGGGAGGCAGCAGUGGGGAAUAUUGCACAAUGGGGGAAACCCUGAUGCAGCGACGCCGCGUGAACGAAGAAGGUAUUCGUAUCGUAAAGUUCUGUCCUAUGGGAAGAUAAUGACAGUACCAUAGAAGAAAGCUCCGGCUAAAUACGUG
rnacentral:rRNA from 1 species